CAAGGAAUUUUCCCCAGUGGGCGCAAGCCUGAGGGAGCAACGCCGCGUGCAGGACGACGGCUUUCGGGUUGUAAACUGCUUUUGCGUGGGACGAUAACGACGGUACCACGCGAAUAAGCCCCGGCUAACACUGAGCCUGCAGCCGGGGUAAUACAGUGGGGGCAAGCGUUGACCGGACUUACUGGGCGUAAAGCGCACGCAGGUGGUAAGGCAAGUGGGGUGUGAAAGCCGCCAGCUUAACUGGCGGAGGCCAUCCCAAACUGCUUCACUUGAGGCCUGUAGAGGUAUGUGGAAUUGCCGGUGUAGUGGUGAAAUGCGUAGAGAUCGGCAGGAACACCCAGGGGGAAACCAGCAUACUGGACAGGACCUGACACUCAGGUGCGACAGCGUGGGGAGCGAACCGGAUUAGAUACCCGUGUAGUCC
rnacentral:rRNA from 1 species